rnacentral:lncRNA from 10 species
AGGUGAUUCUUGCACCCUGAUUUUCUAGGAUGAGCCCCAAACAGAAAGCAGACAGAGGACUGGGAGUGUGGGUGAGAUGGCGGGGAGGGGUUCCCCACGGCAGCCGGGGCUACAGAGGGCUGGCGGGAGGCAGGCAAAAGACGGAAUUUUCCUGAAAAAACGGGAGACGGAUGGGCUGGGACGGGUUUUGGGGGGGUGUCCCCAAUUCUGACUGGGAGUGGAGGAACCCCUCCUGAGAUCUCUUGUGGGGGUGCCCCCUCCCCAGGGCACUCCCCAGUCCCUGAGCCAGCCGAGAGGAAGGAGGCCAGCGAUGCGACUGGGGCGGCUCCUUUCUCCUGCACCCCAAAUGUGAGGGAUGCACCCUAAAUUUUGCUCUUUUCAAAAUAGGGGACCAGGAUCUCAGGGGAGAGUAGCUGAGGCCUUGCUCGGAGUCCCAGGAGAUCCACAGGUCCGGCAUGAACAGUGAGAGGUCAGAGGUGGAAGGCUCAGCAGGAGAGGAGAGGAGGAUCAGCAGAGGUCAUGAGAAGGCCAGAAUCCAGGGUCAGGCUGUCUGGAACAGGAAGUAAAAUGGGCCGAGAUGGAGCGAGCCCCCAGUGUGCUUCCAAGGCCACUCCCACCUCCCUGAAACACCCUGCUACGUACUGAUCCAAUGCCCUGCGCUGUGUAUGAGAGCACCUUCUCUUCUGAAACCCCUAUACAAGGGAGGGGCCCCUGCGGAGACCGUGCCCUGCCAUCCAGUCCUCAAGGGGAUUCUAAAAAACUAGUGACAAAGUAGGGAAGCAGCUGAGCUGGAAAGGAGUUCUGAGGACGAUGGAACCUUGGGUAAGGAGGAAGAAGGCUGCCCACCCGCCCUUUUCUGGCAGCCACCCUCCCUCACACUGUCCGUUCCUUGAUGACACAGCUGAUGUGAUUAAGAUCGUCCCCAAAUCGCUUCGAGAGGGUCCGUGUCUGUGACCGAGUCCAAGCGCCCGCUCUCAGCGUCCACGUCCCAGUCCGGGCUCACGUACCCCGCAGGAGAAGAGUCGGCCACGGGAUGCAGCUGCAUCGUCAGCUCCCCGAG